rnacentral:rRNA from 1 species
AUUGAACGCUGGCGGCAUGCUUUACACAUGCAAGUCGAACGGUAACAGGCCGCAAGGUGCUGACGAGUGGCGAACGGGUGAGUAAUGCAUCGGAACGUGCCCAGUCGUGGGGGAUAACUGCUCGAAAGAGCAGCUAAUACCGCAUACGAUCUAUGGAUGAAAGCGGGGGACCGUAAGGCCUCGCGCGAUUGGAGCGGCCGAUGUCAGAUUAGGUAGUUGGUGGGGUAAAGGCUCACCAAGCCAACGAUCUGUAGCUGGGCUGAGAGGACGACCAGCCACACGGGGACUGAGAAACCGCCGAGACUCCUACGGGAGGCAGCAGUGGGGAAUUUUGGACAAUGGGGGCAACCCUGAUCCAGCAAUGCCGCGUGCAGGAAGAAGGCCUUCGGGUUGUAAACUGCUUUUGUACGGAACGAAACGGUCUGGGUUAAUACCCUGGGCUAAUGACGGUACCGUAAGAAUAAGCACCGGCUAACUACGUGCCAGCCGCCGCGGUAAUAC